rnacentral:rRNA from 1 species
UAGGGAAUCUUCCGCAAUGGACGAAAGUCUGACGGAGCAACGCCGCGUGAGUGAAGAAGGAUUUCGGUUCGUAAAACUCUGUUGUUAGGGAAGAAAAAAUGUAUAGUAACUAUAUACAAAAGAGACGGUACCUAACCAGAAAGCCACGGCUAACUACGUGCCAGCAGCCGCGGUAAUACGUAGGUGGCAAGCGUUGUCCGGAAUUAUUGGGCGUAAAGCGCGCGCAGGUGGUUUAGAAAGUCUGAUGUGAAAGCCCACGGCUCAACCGUGGAGGGUCAUUGGAAACUAAUAAACUUGAGUGCAGGAGAGAUAAGUGGAAUUCCUAGUGUAGCGGUGAAAUGCGUAGAGAUUAGGAGGAACACCGGUGGCGAAAGCGGCUUUUUGGCCUGCAACUGACACUGAGGCGCGAAAGCGUGGGGAGCAAACAGG